AGGUGCUUGCACUUGGGGAUUAGUGGCGAACGGGUGAGUAACACGUGAGUAACCUGCCCCUGACUCUGGGAUAAGCCCGGGAAACUGGGUCUAAUACCGGAUAUGACUGUCCACCGCAUGGUGGGUGGUUGAAAGAUUUAUCGGUGAGGGAUGGACUCGCGGCCUAUCAGCUUGUUGGUGAGGUAAUGGCUCACCAAGGCGACGACGGGUAGCCGGCCUGAGAGGGUGACCGGCCACACUGGGACUGAGACACGGCCCAGACUCCUACGGGAGGCAGCAGUGGGGAAUAUUGCACAAUGGGCGAAAGCCUGAUGCAGCGACGCCGCGUGAGGGAUGACGGCCUUCGGGUUGUAAACCUCUUUCAGUAGGGAAGAAGCGAAAGUGACGGUACCUGCAGAAGAAGCGCCGGCUAACUACGUGCCAGCAGCCGCGGUAAUACGUAGGGCGCAAGCGUUAUCCGGAUUUAUUGGGCGUAAAGAGCUCGUAGGCGGUUUGUCGCGUCUGCCGUGAAAGUCCAAGGCUCAACCUUGGAUCUGCGGUGGGUACGGGCAGACUAGAGUGAUGUAGGGGAGACUGGAAUUCCUGGUGUAGCGGUGAAAUGCGCAGAUAUCAGGAGGAACACCGAUGGCGAAGGCAGGUCUCUGGGCAUUUACUGACGCUGAGGAGCGAAAGCAUGGGGAGCGAACAGGAUUAGAUACCCUGGUAGUCCAUGCCGUAAACGUUGGGCACUAGGUGUGGGGGACAUUCCACGUUUUCCGCGCCGUAGCUAACGCAUUAAGUGCCCCGCCUGGGGAGUACGGCCGCAAGGCUAAAACUCAAAGGAAUUGACGGGGGCCCGCACAAGCGGCGGAGCAUGCGGAUUAAUUCGAUGCAACGCGAAGAACCUUACCAAGGCUUGACAUGUGCCAGACCGCCUCAGAGAUGGGGUUUCCCUUCGGGGCUGGUUCACAGGUGGUGCAUGGUUGUCGUCAGCUCGUGUCGUGAGAUGUUGGGUUAAGUCCCGCAACGAGCGCAACCCUCGUUCCAUGUUGCCAGCACGUAAUGGUGGGGACUCAUGGGAGACUGCCGGGGUCAACUCGGAGGAAGGUGGGGAUGACGUCAAAUCAUCAUGCCCCUUAUGUCUUGGGCUUCACGCAUGCUACAAUGGCCGGUACAAUGGGUUGCGAUACUGUGAGGUGGAGCUAAUCCCUAAAAGCCGGUCUCAGUUCGGAUUGGGGUCUGCAACUCGACCCCAUGAAGUCGGAGUCGCUAGUAAUCGCAGAUCAGCAACGCUGCGGUGAAUACGUUCCCGGGCCUUGUACACACCGCCCGUCAAGUCACGAAAGUUGGUAACACCCGAAGCCGAUGGCCUAACCACCUUGUGUGGGGGGAGUCGUCGAAGGUGGGACUGGCGAUUGGGACUAAGUCGUAACAAGGUAACCGUA
rnacentral:rRNA from 2 species